UACGGGGGGGGCAAGCGUUGUUCGGAAUUACUGGGCGUAAAGGGCUCGUAGGCGGCCAACUAAGUCAGACGUGAAAUCCCCUCGGCUUAACCGGGGAACUGCAUCUGAUACUGGAUGGCUUGAGUUCGGGAGAGGGAUGCGGAAUUCCAGGUGUAGCGGUGAAAUGCGUAGAUAUCUGGAGGAACACCGGUGGCGAAGGCGGCGACCUGGGUCGACACUGACGCUGAGGCGCGAAAGCGUGGGGAGCAAACAGG
rnacentral:rRNA from 1 species